GACGAACGCUGGCGGCGUGCCUAAUACAUGCAAGUCGAACGCUUCUUUUCCCACCGGAGCUUGCUCCACUGGGAAAAGAGGAGUGGCGAACAGGUGAGUAACACGUGGGUAACCUGCCCAUCAGAAGGGGAUAACACUUGGAAACAGGUGCUAAUACCGUAUAACAAUCGAAACCGCAUGGUUUCGUUUGGAAAGGCGCUUUACGGUGCCGCUGAUGGAUGGACCCGCGGUGCAUUAGCUAGUUGGGGAGGUAACGGCUCACAAAGGCCACGAUGCAUAGCCGACCUGAGAGGGUGAUCGGCCACAUUGGGACUAAGACACGGCCCAAACGCCUACGGGAGGCAGCAGUAGGGAAUCUUCGGCAAUGGACGAAAGUCUGACCGAGCAACGCCGCGUGAGUGAAGAAGGUUUUCGGAUCGUAAAACUCUGUUGUUAGAGAAGAACAAGGGUGAGAGUAACUGUUCACCCCUUGACGGUAUCUAACCAGAAAGCCACGGCUAACUACGUGCCAGCAGCCGCCGUAA
rnacentral:rRNA from 1 species